rnacentral:rRNA from 1 species
UACGAAGGGGGCUAGCGUUGUUCGGAUUUACUGGGCGUAAAGCGCACGUAGGCGGUCUGUUAUGUCGGAUGUGAAAGCCCUUGGCUCAACUGAGGAAGUGCAUCCGAAACUGGCAGGCUAGAGUACUAAAGAGGAUCGCGGAAUUCCCGGUGUAGAGGUGAAAUUCGUAGAUAUCGGGAGGAACACCGGUGGCGAAGGCGGCGAUCUGGGUAGAUACUGACGCUGAGGUGCGAAAGCGUGGGGAGCAAACAGG